UCGAUUAACAAUACAUUUGUUUCGGCCCACCCAAUACAAAAAUCCUGGAUCUGUCGCUGCCUCUACCUAAUUGUACUCUCCUCUUUUCCUGCUACCAACUCAUCUCGUUCAUCUGCUUCUGGUGUUGCAGCUGGUGUUUCUGCUGGAAGAUUCACUUAAUGAGAAAUACCCUCAUACAGUCUACGAGGAGCUUCGUGAAGCACGAGAACCGAAUGAGGUUGCAUCAGAAGAAGAUCAUAGUAGCUGUGACAAAAUAGAAGAGGAACUGGUGACAGGUUUAUCUCGGGUUCCGUGGGAGAAGGUUCAUGUCAGUUUCCACAGCAGUAGGUCAAGGUUUUCUGCUCAUAGUGUCAUACAGGCUAAAGACAUCUAUUCAUAUUUGGAGCAAGAGCCUAGUGUGAAACCUUUAAGGUCAUCAAGAAGUAAGGCAGUAAAUGCAAAAAUAUUGGCUUCUCCAUGCAUUCUUAGGGGACUUUUUUCAUAGUGGACUUAUUGUUGAAAUUGAGUGUUAAUUUGUAUAUUGUUGGUGUGAGCUAAAGGAAAUAAAACUAAGACUUUCACAUUUUGUAUUACAACAUUCCCGGUAUUGGGGAGGGUCAAAAUUACAAAGGAAACAUUGCCGAUA